rnacentral:rRNA from 1 species
CAGCUUGCUGGGUGGAUUAGUGGCGAACGGGUGAGUAACACGUGAGUAACCUGCCCUUAACUCUGGGAUAAGCCUGGGAAACUGGGUCUAAUACCGGAUAGGAGCGUCCACCGCAUGGUGGGUGUUGGAAAGAUUUAUCGGUUUUGGAUGGACUCGCGGCCUAUCAGCUUGUUGGUGAGGUAAUGGCUCACCAAGGCGACGACGGGUAGCCGGCCUGAGAGGGUGACCGGCCACACUGGGACUGAGACACGGCCCAGACUCCUACGGGAGGCAGCAGUGGGGAAUAUUGCACAAUGGGCGCAAGCCUGAUGCAGCGACGCCGCGUGAGGGAUGACGGCCUUCGGGUUGUAAACCUCUUUCAGUAGGGAAGAAGCGAAAGUGACGGUACCUGCAGAAGAAGCACCGGCUAACUACGUGCCAGCAGCCGCGGUAAUACGUAGGGUGCGAGCGUUAUCCGGAAUUAUUGGGCGUAAAGAGCUCGUAGGCGGUUUGUCGCGUCUGUCGUGAAAGUCCGGGGCUUAACCCCGGAUCUGCGGUGGGUACGGGCAGACUAGAGUGCAGUAGGGGAGACUGGAAUUCCUGGUGUAGCGGUGGAAUGCGCAGAUAUCAGGAGGAACACCGAUGGCGAAGGCAGGUCUCUGGGCUGUAACUGACGCUGAGGAGCGAAAGCAUGGGGAGCGAACAGGAUUAGAUACCCUGGUAGUCCAUGCCGUAAACGUUGGGCACUAGGUGUGGGGACCAUUCCACGGUUUCCGCGCCGCAGCUAACGCAUUAAGUGCCCCGCCUGGGGAGUACGGCCGCAAGGCUAAAACUCAAAGGAAUUGACGGGGGCCCGCACAAGCGGCGGAGCAUGCGGAUUAAUUCGAUGCAACGCGAAGAACCUUACCAAGGCUUGACAUGUUCUCGAUCGCCGUAGAGAUACGGUUUCCCCUUUGGGGCGGGUUCACAGGUGGUGCAUGGUUGUCGUCAGCUCGUGUCGUGAGAUGUUGGGUUAAGUCCCGCAACGAGCGCAACCCUCGUUCCAUGUUGCCAGCACGUAAUGGUGGGGACUCAUGGGAGACUGCCGGGGUCAACUCGGAGGAAGGUGAGGACGACGUCAAAUCAUCAUGCCCCUUAUGUCUUGGGCUUCACGCAUGCUACAAUGGCCGGUACAAUGGGUUGCGAUACUGUGAGGUGGAGCUAAUCCCAAAAAGCCGGUCUCAGUUCGGAUUGGGGUCUGCAACUCGACCCCAUGAAGUCGGAG